rnacentral:rRNA from 1 species
UACGUAGGGGGCAAGCGUUGUCCGGAUUUAUUGGGCGUAAAGAGCGUGUAGGCGGCCGUACAGGUCAGCUGUGAAAACUCGAGGCUCAACCUCGAGACGUCGGUUGAAACCGUACGGCUAGAGUCCGGAAGAGGAGAGUGGAAUUCCCGGUGUAGCGGUGAAAUGCGCAGAUAUCGGGAAGAACACCCGUGGCGAAGGCGGCUCUCUGGGGCGGUACUGACGCUGAGACGCGAAAGCGUGGGGAGCGAACAGG